CCUACGGGAGGCAGCAGUGAGGAAUAUUGGUCAAUGGACGAGAGUCUGAACCAGCCAAGUAGCGUGAAGGAUGACUGCCCUAUGGGUUGUAAACUUCUUUUAUAUGGGAAUAAAAUGUUCCACGUGUGGGAUUUUGUAUGUCCCAUAUGAAUAAGGAUCGGCUAACUCCGUGCCAGCAGCCGCGGUAAUCCGGAGGAUCCGAGCGUUAUCCGGAUUUAUUGGGUUUAAAGGGAGCGUAGGUGGAUUGUUAAGUCAGUUGUGAAAGUUUGCGGCUCAACCGUAAAAUUGCAGUUGAAACUGGCAGUCUUGAGUACAGUAGAGGUGGGCGGAAUUCGUGGUGUAGCGGUGAAAUGCUUAGAUAUCACGAAGAACUUCGAGUGCGAAGGCAGUUCACUGGACUGCAACUGACACUGAGGCUCGAAAGUGUGGGUAUCAAACAGGAUUAGAUACCCGAGUAGUC
rnacentral:rRNA from 1 species